ACUGUUGUUUCGUUUCACUUGUAAUUUUGUUCAGAUCUAAGUUUUGUUUGUUUUGUCACCAUGUUGAGCUGUCGUACUCACUGCACUGGUCUAUCCCGAAGUGAUACCUUAUGAGACUAUGAAAGUUUUGAGGUGCUAGUAGAACUCUUGGAUACGGUUGACUUCGUGGACAAGAAGAAGAGUUAGACUUCAAAAGAGCUUGGCUGUUGUCCAUAGUUCUAGUCUUGAUCGUUGUGAUAACAUUUAUUCUAUUGGCUUGUUAUCUACUAAUAAGAAAGAGACAAUCAAAGAGUGAAAAGAAUGUUUACAAUGUGGUGAUGGAAACUCAUGAAGACCAUACUUACAAUACAUUAACGGAGACUCAAGGAGAGCUCAAUACUUACAAUAAUUUACCAGAGAAUCCAAUGGAGGAUCAUAUUUAUAACAAUUAUACGAAUGACGAAGAGCAAGUCUAUACAGAAGUGACAGAUCUCGAGACUCAUGUUUACAUCAAUUGAAGACAAGUGCUAGCACUGACACAAAGUUGAACAAAAAAAAAUUAUUCUAAGUGAUAAA
rnacentral:sRNA from 13 species